AUUGAACGCUGGCGGCAGGCCUAACACAUGCAAGUCGAGCGGAUGAAGGGAGCUUGCUCCUGGAUUCAGCGGCGGACGGGUGAGUAAUGCCUAGGAAUUUGCCUGGUAGUGGGGUAUAACGUCCGGAAACGGGCGCUAAUACCGCAUACGUCCUGAGGGAGAAAGUGGGGGAUCUUCGGACCUCACGCUAUCAGAUGAGCCUAGGUCGGAUUAGCUAGUUGGUGGGGUAAAGGCCUACCAAGGCGACGAUCCGUAACUGGUCUGAGAGGAUGAUCAGUCACACUGGAACUGAGACACGGUCCAGACUCCUACGGGAGGCAGCAGUGGGGAAUAUUGGACAAUGGGCGAAAGCCUGAUCCAGCCAUGCCGCGUGUGUGAAGAAGGUCUUCGGAUUGUAAAGCACUUUAAGUUGGGAGGAAGGGCAGUAAGUUAAUACCUUGCUGUUUUGACGUUACCAACAGAAUAAGCACCGGCUAACUUCGUG
rnacentral:rRNA from 1 species